GGCAGCAGUGGGGAAUAUUGCACAAUGGGCGCAAGCCUGAUGCAGCAACGCCGCGUGAGGGACGACGGCCUUCGGGUUGUAAACCUCUUUUAGCAGGGAAGAAGCGAAAGUGACGGUACCUGCAGAAAAAGCGCCGGCUAACUACGUGCCAGCAGCCGCG
rnacentral:rRNA from 1 species